AGAGAGUAACGUUGUUGUAUUGAACGGGCAACGUUUGUGACACUUUGAGGUUUCUACUCGGCUCUCCCAUGAGGGGUUGAGCUAGCCUCAUGUGAGCUAGCGGGUAGCUACUUUUGAAUUCGAGGCAUAGUUUUCUUCAGUUCUGUGUCGCCUUGGACAUCAAGAGUAAGUUAACUUGGCUAUCUGUUAAGUGUGAAGUGUGUUCACGUUUCUUUAACAUCGUCGAUGUAACGUAGGUUGUCGGUUUCUGUGUUGAAAGAGCCAACAUUAGCUUACUUUACACAUGUUAGCCCAGGUAAUGUUUAGCUAACGCUCGUGUUAUAGGUUCAUUAGUGGCAGGUGGGUUAAGACACCUGAGGGGUCACGUGCUACACACUUCAUCUAAUAACCACGAUUUUAUUGAAGUGCUUUGAAACUGGUUCCAAGCAGACAUGUAGACAAGCUCACAAAUACCGGAGCGGUCAGUCCGGACAGUCACGUGACCAGACACGUUAUUGUACGUGUCUGUUCACGUGACGUCGGGACUCUGUUCACGUGACCGCUAUAAACUGCGCUGUGUCAUAUGCUGUCGGGACUGCUGUUCACGUGACGCUCUUUACGUGAUGCUGUUGCCGUGGUCGGGACUCUGUUCACGUGACUGUUGUUAACAUGACGCUUAUAACUGCGCUGUGUCAUAUGCUGUCGGGACUCUGUUCACGUGACGCUCUUUACGUGAUGCUGUUGACGUGGUCGGGACUCUGUUCACGUGACGCUCUUAACUUGAUGCUGUUGACGUGGUCGGGACUCUGUUCACGUGACGCUCUUAACUUGAUGCUGUUGACGUGGUCGGGACUCUGUUCACGUGACGCUCUUAACUUGAUGCUGUUGACGUGGUCGGGACUCUGUUCACGUGACUGUUGUUGACAUGACGCGUAUAACUGCGCUGUGGCGGGACAUGACAGCUCACAGCUCCUCAGAAGCUCCGUGAGCUGUCCAGUGAGGGGAUGGUUUCAUGAUCAAAUCUUCAUUUACUGUCCACAUUAUCAGAUGAGGACGUCACCAAAGAGUGUCCUUUGAGUCAAUGUUUACAUUUAUGUCAUUAAGAAGUAGAACAUUUAGUUACCCAUGAUCGGAUACAAGUUGUCAAGGAUAAACGGAAAGAGAAUCAUGUCAGCCCACAGACAACCGGUUGACCUGUGAGUCUUCAAGCAGUAAUGAUGACUCCUGCCUUAAGUUCCAGUUUCCUGAACAUCAUGUCGGCAUGAGAUUCUGUCCCCACCUGUCUUCAGUCUGGACCCAAUGAUUCGGACACCAGUCUUGUCGAGGCUAAAUUGAGAUCAAGCAUUGACGGAAAACACCCAAAGUCCAUCAC